AGAGUUUGAUCCUGGCUCAGGACGAACGCUGGCGGCGUGCCUAAUACAUGCAAGUCGAGCGGGGUUUGAGGGAGCUUGCUCCCAAGAACCUAGCGGCGGACGGGUGAGUAACACGUGGGCAACCUGCCUGUAAGAUCGGGAUAACUAUCGGAAACGAUAGCUAAGACCGAAUAACUGGUUUUCUCGCAUGAGAGAAUCAU
rnacentral:rRNA from 1 species